rnacentral:pre_miRNA from 1 species
AGGGGGAGCACCGGGUCCUGGGCUGUGUCCCCCCGCGCCCUGGGCUCCGGGGCCUGCGUCGCUGGAAUCGCGCUCCCGGGCCACGCAGCCCCCU